GACGAACGCUGGCGGCGUGCCUAAUACAUGCAAGUAGAACGCUGAAGGAGGAGCUUGCUUCUCUGGAUGAGUUGCGAACGGGUGAGUAACGCGUAGGUAACCUGCCUGGUAGCGGGGGAUAACUAUUGGAAACGAUAGCUAAUACCGCAUAAUAGUAGAUGUUGCAUGACAUUUGCUUAAAAGGUGCAAUUGCAUCACUACCAGAUGGACCUGCGUUGUAUUAGCUAGUUGGUGGGGUAACGGCUCACCAAGGCGACGAUACAUAGCCGACCUGAGAGGGUGAUCGGCCACACUGGGACUGAGACACGGCCCAGACUCCUACGGGAGGCAGCAGUAGGGAAUCUUCGGCAAUGGACGGAAGUCUGAACGAGCAACGCCGCGGGAGUGAAGAAGGGUUUCGGAUCGUAAAGCUCUGUUGUAAGAGAAGAACGAGUGUGAGAGUGGAAAGUUCACACUGUGACGGUAUCUUACCAGAAAGGGACGGCUAACUACGUG
rnacentral:rRNA from 1 species